rnacentral:rRNA from 1 species
UGCCCCCNGAUUUUUAUUAAAGGGCUGCAGUAAUUUGACUGUACAAAGGUAGCAUAAUCAUUAGUCAUUUAAUUGAUGACUUGUAUGAAAGAUUGGAUGAAAUAUAGACUGUCUUUGGAAUAUUAUAUAGAAAUUAAUUUUUUAAUUAAAAAGUUAAAAUAUUUAAAAAAGACGGGAAGACCCUAUAGAGUUUUAUUAUUAAUUAGAUNANAANUAUUUUUAAAAUUAAUAUUUAAAUUUAUUUAAUAAUUUUAUUGGGGUGAUAGAAAAAUUUAAUAAACUUUUUUUUUUUUUUACAUAAAUAAGUGAUUUAAUGAUCCAUUUNUAAUGAUUAUAAGAAAAAAUUACCUUAGGGAUAACAGGGUAAUUUUUUUUUUUAGUUCAUAUAAAAAAAAGAGUUUGCGACCUCGAUGUUGGAUUAAGAUAAAGUUUAAAUGCAGAAGUUUAAA